CAACUUUUGUAUCACAUACACAUUACAUAAUGUUUAAAAGGUACUUUGUCACAUUAUUUAAUCACUGCUUCUUAGAGCUCAACUUUUCAUAAUUGUGCUCCGUACAUAGUUUGCACAAAUUGGAUGCAUUAUGGAAAUUACAUACAGAUGACCAAUUUAGCAUCUAAUAGAUUCCAUGUUCCAGUAUUAAAGGGACCAGCACAUCACAUGCUGGCACAUCUCGUGUAAGCAGGAAGUUUGGUAUCACAGGGCAACCACUUUGUGCAACUAGAAACAUCCACAAAGGAAGGAGGGCCCCAAGAAGUACUUAAAAUGGAAACUUAUGUAUGUUUCAUUGUCUGCUUAGACAUUCCUCACCUAUACUUAAAAAUUUAGUACUGACAUCUGCUCUAAUCCAAUGAAAUACAUAGUUGAAUCUUGGUUCUUUUAACCUCAGCAUAGUGCCUUUUGCUGUGUGUGUUUAAGUGAAUUCUUUAUAUUUAAAGGUUUGUGGGGGUUUUUUUGUUUUGUUUUUUGAGCUAAGUAGUUUUUAACUGUACUUUUUGGGAGUUAGUAAUUGUGACAAUAGUAAUUCUGACUCUUUCAAACUAUCUUACAAAUCUUGUCUUCCAAUUUUGUUACGGUAAAAGCUUUUGCUGAUGUCCAUGUUCUAAUAUGCGUCUCAUUACAUUGGAAACUAUUCAGCAGCUGUUCCCUGGGUCAGAGGGCCGUGUGGACACACACCUGUAAGUUUUGCAAGUGAUGGUAGCAGCCUUGAUGAAGAUGAUGGAAUCCAAUAGACAAAGCCUGUUUUAAUCAGAUGCUUUACACUUAACUAGAAAAUCCACUUAAUGCAGGAAAUACCUAGGCCAUCUGUUUAUUCCCAGACAUGUGUAAUAGGGACUGUAAUUAUGCCCACUUGGGAUAAAAGUUACAGGUGAAUAUCCAGUGGAUUUCUCUCUUCUGCUGUGGAACUCUUAAUUGCCAGUGUGGUUCCUGUGAAUCUUUGUGACAUCUGUACUUCGAAGAGUAGUAGAUGCAGAAGAAACUUCCCAAGAUACAGAAUCCAGUUACCAUGUAUAUGUACUUGAUAUCUUUUUAAAACUGAAUGGGAUCGUUCUGCCAAGUUUUCUAGGAGAUGUUGAUGUAUCUGAUUGUCUGUUCAGAAACUGUAAUAUACGUAGUGAGUACCUUGAGCUGUCUACUACAGUGCAUAUAAGAGGAACAGGGUUGACCCUACAAAGGCUUCCAAUUUAGCAGGUAACCAAGUUUGGAUGUACUACACUCCCCUAUCUGUAGAUCUGUGAAAAAACUAAGAAAACUAGAGAAGGCAGAUCUUUAAAAACCAGUUUAUACCCACUUGCUCAUCCUAAAACAAAUUUCAGGUUUGAGAAAUGCAUUUAGUAAUUGAUAACAUUAAAAUGUUUUUGAAAAUCUCAUUUUAAAUAUGGUAUUUUAAAAACUACUACUGCUAAUGGUAACUUUACUAAUAAAAUAUUUUAGGAUGCUAGCAGUAUGAGGAUUAUGGGAGUUUAUACUAAUGAAUAACUGGUUUUAACAAUCCAGCUGAAAGCUCUAAGCAACUUUUACAAAAUAGUCUUUAAAAUCUGUAUUAAAGCAGAUUUGCAAUUUGCCAUAGAAUUCCAAUUUUUGUAAGAUGUCUGCUGCCAGAAAUAGACUUGGAAUGCCAAUUAUAAUUGGAUUUAAUAUACUACACGUUUGAUUAAUAAUGAAAAAUGCUUCACUGUGUAAACAUUCAGUCUGAUGGUCUGAGCAAAGGGUGGAAUGUGAAAGAUCAAAAGAAACUGUAACAAGUAGCAUUAACAAGCAAAAACUAAAAUUGUUUUACCCCAAAGUAGCUCUUGCUGUUUUGCUCAACUCGAUAGCAUUUGUACUGAGCAUAAACUGCUCUAGUUGAGAGUUAAACUUGUGUACCUGAAAUUUAUCCUCAACUCUGCUUUGAAGCAGAAACUCUGCUUCCAGUUUCAAGAAAUAGAUUAAUUUUUGCAAGUGAUAGCAUACCCAGCAGUGUUUAGACCUGAUGGCAUGUCUUGUGUUGCAUAUCUAUCUCAUAGCUUGAUUAGUUUUUGAGGGAGUCAUGUCAUCCUGUGCCAAAAGGAUCAUAGUUGGCUAUUGCAGGGCCUUUGAAGUGAGUGAGUCAUUGGGACACUUGUGAAUGACACCUUGAGAUGGGCUGGGCUGCAUUAUCACUAAAGUGACAUUUUUUUAAAUGUUCACGUAAGUUACUUGGUAUCACAAUUGCUCUAACUAAAAAUAUAUAAUUGGAUGGGCUGUUGGGUGGAGUGGGAUGUCUUAUUCAGUUUUGGUCCAUACAUAUGGUAUCUAUAAAUACAACAAGCAAGUAAGAUUUCUAGCACAUGCAUACAUAAUAUAUUUUUCUAAAGCUAUUUAAAACUUGAAGUUGCUUGUUAUCACUUUCCUAUUCCAUUCCUAGUUAGUCUUGUAUUCAUCCUUCUAGCCUAGGUUACACUGGACAACUAGAAAAGUAGGUGACUAGUCUAGUGGGUUUAAAAAAAAAUUCUUAGAUCUUAUUUUUUAGCUAUUUAAAGAGCUGAUUGCUUAGUGGAUCUGAGUAGACUGCUCGAUAGGAAUAUCUACGGAAAAACAGUAAGUUUUCAAAAUUUCCUGUUAUACAAUAAGUAUUAAAACAGUCUUGAUGAAGACUUCAUUAGUGUUUGCAGAAUUCUGGGUGGUCAUAAUUUUAUUUAUGUGUAAUAAAACAGCAGUGAAGUACUGUGAACAAAAGCCAGCAUUAUUUCAAGAUAUGAAACCCCCCCCACCCCUGCUUCUAGAUGAUAGAAAAGAUUUUGUUGCUAAACUAUAAAACCUAAGAUUACAUCUGUUUAUGAGAGGACAUUUAUUGUUUUAAGCUUGUUUACUUUGUGUAUUUGACAGCAUUUGUGUGUUGGCCAUUUCACUGAUUUUUUUUCACUCUGUGGGGUCUUUUACAUGGCUUCAGGAGAAUUUUUUUAAAAAUUAAAAACUCUUAAGUGCCAUUUGUAAACUACAAAAUGAUCGAGAGGCUAACGGGGGAGGUGGGAGGUAGCAGGGUGUAGUUCCUGAAACUACUAACGCUUGAAUUUUGACAUGAUUUAAUGGAGUGCCCCUUUUUAA